GUUGUAUAGUCAAGUAAUUAAGUGCAUGUGGUGGAUGCCUUGGCAGUCAGAGGCGAUGAAAGACGUGAUAGCCUGCGAAAAGCUCCGGGGAGGCGGCAAAUAUCCUUUGAUCCGGAGAUGUCUGAAUGGGGGAACCCACCUACUUUAAGGUAGGUAUUGCAACAUGAAUACAUAGUGUUGCAAGGCGAACGAGGGGAAGUGAAACAUCUCAGUACCCUUAGGAAAAGAAAUCAAUUGAGAUUCCCUCAGUAGCGGCGAGCGAACGGGGAUCAGCCCAUUAAGUUAUGUGUGUUUUAGUGGAACGCUCUGGGAAGUGCGAACGUAGAGGGUGAUAUUCCCGUACACGAAAGGGCACACAUAAUGAUGACGAGUAGGGCGAGGCACGUGAAACCUUGUCUGAAUAUGGGGGGACCAUCCUCCAAGGCUAAAUACUCCUGACUGACCGAUAGUGAACCAGUACCGUGAGGGAAAGGCGAAAAGAACCCCUGUGAGGGGAGUGAAAUAGAUCCUGAAACCGCAUGCAUACAAGCAGUGGGAGCACCUUCGUGGUGUGACUGCGUACCUUUUGUAUAAUGGGUCAGCGACUUAUAUUCAGUAGCAAGGUUAACCGUAUAGGGGAGCCGUAGAGAAAUCGAGUCUUAAUAGGGCGUUUAGUUGCUGGGUAUAGACCCGAAACCAGGCGAUCUAUCCAUGAGCAGGUUGAAGGUUGGGUAACACUAACUGGAGGACCGAACCCACUGUCGUUGAAAAGCCAGGGGAUGACUUGUGGAUAGGGGUGAAAGGCUAAUCAAGCCUGGUGAUAGCUGGUUCUCCCCGAAAGCUAUUUAGGUAGCGCCUCGGACGAAUACCAUAGGGGGUAGAGCACUGUUUCGGCUAGGGGGUCAUCCCGACUUACCAAACCGAUGCAAACUCCGAAUACCUAUGAGUACUAUCCGGGAGACAGACUGCGGGUGCUAACGUCCGUAGUCAAGAGGAAAACAAUCCAGACCGCCAGCUAAGGCCCCAAAAUCAUAGUUAAGUGGGAAACGAUGUGGGAAGGCAUAGACAGCUAGGAGGUUGGCUUANNNNNNNNNNNNNNNNNNNNNNNGAAGCAGCCACCCUUUAAAGAAAGCGUAAUAGCUCACUAGUCGAGUCGGCCUGCGCGGAAGAUGUAACGGGGCUAAAACUAUGUGCCGAAGCUGCGGAUGUAUACUUUGUAUACGUGGUAGGGGAGCGUUCUGUAAGCCGAUGAAGGUGUGUUGAGAAGCAUGCUGGAGGUAUCAGAAGUGCGAAUGCUGACGUGAGUAACGACAAAACGGGUGAAAAACCCGUUCGCCGAAAGACCAAGGGUUCCAGUCCAACGUUAA
rnacentral:rRNA from 1 species